GUCAUAAGCUCAAAGCACCAAAUUAAAAAAACCAAAAUCUAAGAAAACCCAUCAUAAUUUCAUCCAUUCCAAACAAUUUUAUUUAAUUACACUAAUAAGUAACAACACAGCAAUCUGAAAAAAUAAAUAAUCUUUCCAUUUUUUGGUGAAUUUUAAAGAGAUCAUAUAUUCUUUAACCACUGUCAAAAAUGGAGUUCAGAAUGAAACAGAAAAGAGACAAGGAAUUGAAAGACUACCCACUGUCAAAAGAGGGCGACGGCGUCUAGAGGAGUAAGCCCAUCCCACGGGGAUGAAGAGGAACGACCAAAAUGCACCAAUCGGAACCUACAGCACUAGGCUUCGUUAGUCGUUGGAAAGCGAAAGACACAGCAACGAUGUCCAAUGGGAUCGGUUAGAACCGCAGUGAAAAAGAUGAAAGCAUGGGAUGACAUAAAACGUUGCCUUAAACGAAAUCUACGGCAUUGAUGAUGCAGCAGGCUUCAACCGACGUUUGAGAGCGGCAAACACGACGGUGGCGUCAACCGGAAUGGGUUGGAAGGAAGGCCGACAGGAAUUGGUUUAGACGACGAACGGGGAACGAAGGCUUAGGGAAGAAAUGUUUUUUUUUUAACCUACAACUUUUUUUUUUUAGCUUUAGUGAAUUUAUUUGAUUACCUAUAACCGGUAAAUCUCGGUUUUGCUUUUAAUUUAAGCUUUAUCCUCCUCCUGUUUUUUUUUUUUUUUUUCAAUCUAAAGCCUCCUGCUUUGAAGCUUAUGGUAAGCUUUUUUUAGCUUUCUGUAGAAUUUCCCCAUUUUGUCACAUUUUCGUUUUAUGUUCUUUAAAAGCAGAGUGCCGAAGAGAGAAAGAAGGAUCUGAGAAGGGAAAACACAGAGUUUAAAAAAAAAAAAAAGAAGCUUUAAAACAAUGGCGAAUUACCAUUUCGUUUACAAAGACGUGGAAGGUGCUUCCACUCAAUGGGACGAUAUUCAAAGAAAGCUUGGUAAUUUACCCCCAAAGCCACCCGCUUUCAAGCCUCCCCCUUUCGAACCCGCACCCGACCCGGAUUCUGCCCCCAAGGACAAGUCUUGGAUCGAUGCCAAGACUGAAGAUGAACUUGAUGAACUCGAAGAUGAUCUCGAUGAUGAUCGCUUCCUUGAAGAAUACAGGAAGAAGAGGCUAGCUGAGAUGAAGGAAGCAGCUAAGGUUUCAAAAUACGGAUAGGUGAUGCAGAUUUCAGGAUCUGAUUUCGUGCGCGAGGCUUCACAAGCUCCUCAAGAUGUCUGGAUGGUUAUCUUUCUUUACAAAGAAGGAUUCCCAGAGUGUGGGCUGCUUCUGCGGUGUUUGGAUGAAUUGGCAAUUAAAUAUCCUGCAACGAAGUUUGUCAAGAUAAUAUCUACUGAAUGCAUUCCUAGCUACCCAGAUCGUAAUCUUUCGACUCUCUUGGUGUAUCACAACGGAGCAGUGAAAGCAAAUUAUGUUGCCUUGCAUAGUUUUGGCCGGAGAUGCACACCUGAAGGUGUGGCCUUAGUUCUGUGUAAGUCAGAUCCUGUAUUAAAUGAUGGUCAAAGUGGGAGUGAGCAAGCUGUUCUUGAAGGAAUUCGAAGGCAGUUUAUCGAGAAAGUUGUUACGGAGCAUGAAGAUGACGAUGAGGGGGGAUCUUCAAGUGAUUAGAUGUUCCUACAUUCAUUCAGUUUCUGUUGGAUUUGGGAAAGACAAUUCUAAUGUCUGGUUUCCUGCUUCUUCUUUUGAAGUUUUCUUUGGUGAUUUUGAUGUUGUGUCAAUAUAUUAUUACUCUCGACUAUGGUUUGACAUCCAUUGAUGAAAUUUUGUGUUAUCACUUUUACCUUUGGGGCUCACUAAUCUUGAUGUAUAUUAAUUUAGUGAGUAAAAUAUUAUGUUUCGAUGUAUAAUUUUGGUGUUAUUGUUAUUUUUAAAAAUAUGUAGUUACAAAUAUGAGAUUAAAUAGAAAAUAUUAAUUAA